AUACGUAGGGGGCGAGCGUUGUCCGGAAUGAUUGGGCGUAAAGGGCGCGUAGGCGGCGCGGUAAGUCUGGAGUGAAAGUCCUGCUUUCAAGGUGGGAAUUGCUUUGGAUACUGCCGCGCUUGAGUGCAGGAGAGGUUAUCGGAAUUCCCGGUGUAGCGGUAAAAUGCGUAGAGAUCGGGAGGAACACCAGUGGCGAAGGCGGGUAACUGGACUGCAACUGACGCUGAGGCGCGAAAGUGUGGGGAGCAAACAGGAUUAGAUACCCUGGUAGUCCACACUGUAAACGAUGAAUGCUAGGUGUAAGAGGUAUCGACCCCUUUUGUGCCGGAGUCAACACAAUAAGCAUUCCGCCUGGGGAGUACGGCCGCAAGGUUGAAACUCAAAGGAAUUGACGGGG
rnacentral:rRNA from 1 species